rnacentral:lncRNA from 1 species
AAAAUUUUACAGAUUUUGAGAUUUGGUAAAAUCGGAUCGCUUUUUUUAAUUUUACAGAUUCAGAUCGAAUUUUCAGAACUAUAUUAUAAUUUUUUGUGAAAUUUUUAUUUUCAAUCGUUAAUUUUGAACCCUUUCAAUCACUAGAUAAAUAAUAUCGAAAAAUCAUAAAAUUUAUUUUCUAAAUAUUUCAUAUAUACUAGAUUAAGUUUAUCGGAGCUGAUUAUCGAUUUGAAAGCUCCAUUAUCGAAAACGGCUCAGGAGCACGAAGACCUCCGUACUCCUAAUAACACACAAGACCUACUAUAUAUAUAUAUAUAUAUAUAUAUAUAUNGGAAUUCACUGUCCCAUCAUAAUUUUUUUUAAAAAAUAUUUUUAUUAUAUUUCUCUUUUAAAAAAAUAUAUGAUUGGUAUAAUAUUAGAUGAUUUAAUGUGACUAUUAUAUUGUAGACUUCCUUCUUAUACGGGCAUAGUUUACUAUGCAGGUAUUAAUCCUCUAACUGCAGUUCCAAAAACUACUGUAUUUUAUAAAUUAUAGGGAAAACUUCAAAAACCCCCCUGUGGUUUCGUGCUUUCUCACUUUAGUACCCUGUAAUUUAAAACGUAUCAAUUUGCCCCCCGGUGGUUUCGUUUUUCUCUUUUUGUUAUCAAUUUUAUUAUUAUUUUUUUCUUAAAUCAGUGACAAAGUUAAAAAUUAAAGGAUACUAAAGUGAAUAUUCGAUAAAUAUAGAUGGUUAUCUGAAAUUUUUUGUAUAUAAUUUAAUAAAAUAUUAACGAAAAAGCUUCUGAAAAGAUAAAAAUAAAACCACAGGGGGGCAAAUUGAUACGUUUUAAACCACAGGGUACUAAAGUGAGAAUGCACGAAAC